UGCCCACCCCCAGGGUCUUAUACUCUUUGAUUUCCAUCAUGCUUUUACCAACGACUUACUUGCCUUAGUUGCAGAGAUGGUGACAGAGAAGGAUGCAGGCUCUCUGGAUAAACCUGAUAAGAAGGUCCAUCGAAAAAGGGUAGCUGAGCUUGCGAGCGACCAAAGCAUCUGCAUCAAGAUCGAAAGUCUCCUAGUGCCACCA
rnacentral:lncRNA from 1 species